rnacentral:rRNA from 1 species
CAAGUCGAACGGUAACAGGAAACAGCUUGCUGUUUCGCUGACGAGUGGCGGACGGGUGAGUAAUGUCUGGGAAACUGCCUGAUGGAGGGGGAUAACUACUGGAAACGGUAGCUAAUACCGCAUAACGUCGCAAGACCAAAGAGGGGGACCUUCGGGCCUCUUGCCAUCGGAUGUGCCCAGAUGGGAUUAGCUAGUAGGUGGGGUAACGGCUCACCUAGGCGACGAUCCCUAGCUGGUCUGAGAGGAUGACCAGCCACACUGGAACUGAGACACGGUCCAGACUCCUACGGGAGGCAGCAGUGGGGAAUAUUGCACAAUGGGCGCAAGCCUGAUGCAGCCAUGCCGCGUGUAUGAAGAAGGCCUUCGGGUUGUAAAGUACUUUCAGCGGGGAGGAAGGGAGUAAAGUUAAUACCUUUGCUCAUUGACGUUACCCGCAGAAGAAGCACCGGCUAACUCCGUGCCAGCAGCCGCGGUAAUACGGAGGGUGCAAGCGUUAAUCGGAAUUACUGGGCGUAAAGCGCACGCAGGCGGUUUGUUAAGUCAGAUGUGAAAUCCCCGGGCUCAACCUGGGAACUGCAUCUGAUACUGGCAAGCUUGAGUCUCGUAGAGGGGGGUAGAAUUCCAGGUGUAGCGGUGAAAU